UACAGAGGUCCCAAGCGUUGUUCGGAUUCAUUGGGCGUAAAGGGUGCGUAGGUGGCGCCGUAAGUCAGGUGUGAAAUCUCGGGGCUCAACCCCGAAACUGCACUUGAUACUGCGGUGCUCGAGUACUGGAGAGGAGAUUGGAAUUUACGGUGUAGCAGUGAAAUGCGUAGAUAUCGUAAGGAAGACCAGUGGCGAAGGCGGCCCACUGGGUCUUUUCUGACGCUGAGGGACGAAAGCUAGGGGAGCGAACGGG
rnacentral:rRNA from 1 species